rnacentral:rRNA from 1 species
UACGUCGGGGGCAAGCGUUGUCCGGAUUUAUUGGGCGUAAAGAGCGUGUAGGCGGCCAGACAGGUCAGCUGUGAAAACUCGAGGCUCAACCUCGAGACGUCGGUUGAAACCGUCUGGCUAGAGUCCGGAAGAGGAGAGUGGAAUUCCCGGUGUAGCGGUGAAAUGCGCAGAUAUCGGGAAGAACACCCGUGGCGAAGGCGGCUCUCUGGGACGGUACUGACGCUGAGACGCGAAAGCGUGGGGAGCGAACAGG